UACGGAGGGUGCAAGCGUUAUCCGGAUUCACUGGGUUUAAAGGGUGCGUAGGGGGGUUGGUAAGUCAGUGGUGAAAUCUCCGAGCUUAACUUGGAAACUGCCAUUGAUACUAUUAAUCUUGAAUAUUGUGGAGGUCAGCGGAAUAUGUCAUGUAGCGGUGAAAUGCUUAGAGAUGACAUAGAACACCAAUUGCGAAGGCAGCUGGCUACACAUAUAUUGACACUGAGGCACGAAAGCGUGGGGAUCAAACAGG
rnacentral:rRNA from 1 species